GAGAGCAAUGCCCUUCAACAAGGGCCAGGAGAAGCUCUUUCUCAAAUCUUCAAGGUGAGGAUGGCCUAUGGCUCCUGGAGGUAUAAGCCACAACAGUGAGGAAUUUAACAAUUCAUCAACAUUACUAUUUAAUAAGUGUCCUAUUAGUUUAUGGCUCUAGUGGCUCUUCUCCAAAUAAGCAGAAUUCAGGUGAGUCAGAGAGGCAAGAGAGAAGCUACUCUGGUUGACUGAAAAACUAGUGUGCCUCAAAAGAGGAACUGUGCCCACUUUUCUGUUUGGUACAGAGCUCAGAUCUUUUGUGGGGAAAUCAUGCAAAAAGAAUAUCAUCUCAGA